ensembl:lncRNA
GUGAGAAGGCGCAUGGAGUGAGCUCCUGAGCAUUUUAUCUUUUAAUUGUACUUCUCAGGCAACCUGAGUCUUUUCUAAGACAUUUGGUGCACUCCUUUUCAACUACACAGUCUACAACUAUAACCAGAAAGGAAUUAUGGCUUCUGAAAGACUACGGAAACCUAAAUCUCCACCGAGCACGACGAGUCAUGGCGACAAGCUACCACUGGAUUUGGAAAAUCUCCGCAACACUCUAAUAGUGGAGCUAACAUCUACCAUCACAGUAAGGGUGAAAGCAGCUAUUGACUCAGCUUUAGCCCCAUUUGUUGCAUCUUUUGAGAGUUUUAAAUCGGGCAUUGAAUCACAAGGACAACGUAUUGACGAGCUUGACCAGCACCUGAACGAUUACAGUGACCGCUUUGUAGCAUUGGAACAGGUGAUGCUAAAGCUAACAUCAGCUAACAAACAACUCGCUGAGAAAGUUGAUUUGGAGUCCCGUUCACGGCGCUGCAAUCUCCGGGUCAACGGUAUUCCAGAACGAGAAGAAGGGAGCGAUCCAGUAAUGUUUAUGUCUAAAUUUUUCCAGGAUGUCCUCGGUUCGGAAAUCUUUCCAACCGCUCCAUUGCUGGAUAGAGUGCACCCUUGCCCCUUGCCCUCGGAGGAGCAGCGAGAGAAUCAGAGGUCCAGAGUGUUGAUUGUGCGGUUUCACUAGUUUCACGACAGAGAAAAACUUGUUUGAAGCGGGAAUUGGAAUCAACUUUUCCAUCAGGGCCGUAAGGUCUUCAUCUUCCCUGACUUCAAUUCCAGCGAGGGCGGCCUUCACUGCGGUGAGAAACAGCUUGUGUGAGAGAAAUGUGCGGUCUUCUUUCAGAUACCCUGCUCUCCUUCGGAUAGACCUCGGUGAUGAGAAGCUGCAAUUUGACUGUCCCCAAAAAGCGCAACAAUGGUUUUAUGAACGGUAUCCUCCAUCUUAAGCUGUCUACAUGACAGUUAACCGAUUUAUUAAUACCUGUAACGUGACUGUACAAUGCGCGGGUGUGGACAAUUAUAUCAGUUUCCAUGUAAAUCUAUAGGUUACCUGAGAUACAUGGUAAUUGUGGCACCUUUUAUGCUCGGGAGUGAUUUCACACAACAAGAACAGAAAAAUAAAGGUCUUUUUAUCUACGGCAUGCGAGAGAGUGCGUUAAUCCAACCCUGGUUCCCCCGUUUCCCCUGCAUCGAACAAAUCGUCGAAACACUCAUCUUCGUCUCAGGGAUCAACGCAGACUCCAAGCUCACUGGACAACUCAUAUGUUCCACUCCAAUUUUGAUUCCAGGUCCAGGGGAGUUUCUAUCCUGAUAAACCACGCUCCUCUAAGUCUUGACAUUCUUCUACCUUCACAUCGUGCCUUUUGCCCACCAUGGAGGCUUAAUUCUCUACUUUUAUCCGAUUCAGCAUUUUGCAAGUUUGAUACCGGGUGGCGGACUGAGGAUCUAGGGUAAGUG